UUCUUUUUUAAAAAUUAAAAAGUAAGGCCUGCCCACUGAAAAUUAAAGGGCUGCAGGAUUUAACUGUGCAAAGGUAGCAAAAUAAUUAGUUUCUUAAUUAGGGAAUAGAAUGAAUGGUUUAAUACUUUAAAAUUAUGAUAAAUAAAAAUGUUGAAUUUGAAUUUUAAGUGAAAAUGCUUUAAUAAUUCUAUUAGACGAUAAGACCCUAUAGAUCUUUAUUUUAACAUUAUUUUAAAAUUAGUUUAAUAUAAUUAAAUUUUAAAGUUUUACUGGGGUGGUAGGAGAAAUUAAUUAACUUCUAGAUUUUGACUUGAAAUUUAAAGAAAAAAGAUACCUUAGGGAUAACAGCGUAAUUGAUUUUAAGAGAUCUAAUCAACAAAUCAGAUUGCGACCUCGAUGUUGAAUUAGGAAAUCAUUUUUUAGAAGUAUAAAUAUAUGACGGUCUGUUCGACCUUUUAUUUCCUACA
rnacentral:rRNA from 1 species